GGUUGGGUGUGUAAGCGCUGUGAGGCGUUGAGCUAACCAAUACUAAUUGCCCGUGAGGCUUGACCAUA
rnacentral:rRNA from 1 species